AUGAUGUCACUGAGAACUGCCGUAGACUACCUGCUGUACAGAUUUCCUUACAUUGACCAGAUUUGAGGGUGACACUUUCAGAAGAGUCUCCUGUUUAAGAGUGGAAACCUUUACAUACUAAAUCUCUCUAAAGGACCUUUUAUACUUGACAAAAAGAGUGAAGGUCAUGAUGCCUAAUGAUGAUGUCACUGAAAACUCUCAUGGACUACCUGAUGAACAACUUUCCUUACAUUGACAAGAUUCAAGUUUGCACUUUAAAGGCUCCACCAAGGGACGACUGACACUGAAGCAGACGCGC